GAUGAACGCUGGCGGCGUGCCUAAUACAUGCAAGUCGAGCGAACAGACGAGGAGCUUGCUCCUCUGACGUUAGCGGCGGACGGGUGAGUAACACGUGGAUAACCUACCUAUAAUACUGGGAUAACUUCGGGAAACCGGCGCUAAUACCGGAUAAUAUAUUGAACCGCAUGGUUCAAUAGUGAAAGACGGUUUUGCUGUCACUUAUAGAUGGAUCCGCGCCGCAUUAGCUAGUUGGUAAGGUAACGGCUUACCACGGCAACGAUGCGUAGCCGACGUGAGAGAGGGGUAGCCGGCACUGGAGCGGAGACGCGGACAAGACGACUGCGGGAGGCAGCAGUAGGGAAUCUUACGCAGUGGGCGAAAGCCUGACGGAGCAACGCCACGUGAGUGAUGGAGGUCUUGGGAUCGUAAAACUCUGUUAUUAGGGAAGAACAAAUGUGUAAGUAACUAUGCACGUAUUGACGGUACUUAAUCAGAAAGCCACGGCUAACUACGUG
rnacentral:rRNA from 1 species